rnacentral:rRNA from 1 species
UGGGGAAUUUUGGACAAUGGGCGCAAGCCUGAUCCAGCAAUGCCGCGUGCAGGAUGAAGGCCUUCGGGUUGUAAACUGCUUUUGUACGGAACGAAACGGUCUUUUCUAAUACAGAAGGCUAGUGACGGUACCGUAAGAAUAAGCACCGGCUAACUACGUGCCAGCAGCCGCGGUAAUACGUAGGGUGCGAGCGUUAAUCGGAAUUACUGGGCGUAAAGCGUGCGCAGGCGGUUAUAUAAGACAGGUGUGAAAUCCCCGGGCUUAACCUGGGAAUUGCAUUUGUGACUGUAUAGCUGGAGUACGGCAGAGGGGGAUGGAAUUCCGCGUGUAGCAGUGAAAUGCGUAGAUAUGCGGAGGAACACCGAUGGCGAAGGCAAUCCCCUGGGCCUGCACUGACGCUCAUGCACGAAAGCGUGGGGAGCAAACA